rnacentral:misc_RNA from 1 species
GGAUGAUAAAAUAUGCAUACAUGCUCCAUCAUCAGCACCACUUAUUCUUAUAACUUCUCCAAACAAACUUCCAUAAAACUGAAUAUUCUUAAUGAAAACAAGAGAACGAUCUUACUCCUGGCCUGCCAGCAAACUGUAUUACCUUGCACAGUUCCAUGUCACGUAGCGAAACGAUCCUCUUGUCAAUCCCUGCAUUACAGCAAAUCCACGAAUAUAUAAAUUCCAUCGCAUCGUCGUUUGAUUUCCUCCUGUCGAAGGGUGGGACUCCGCGAGCCUCCGAGAGGAACACGGGGGAAGCUCGCGAACGUAGCUUUCGUAGCCUGUGCACGGAGCUUCUGUACGUUGAAUUUUUCCCUCUUAAACCUCUUUCACUCGGAAAUUUCGAUAAGUCGAGGCUCCAGAAGUCGAAGAUUUUAGAUCUGCUCCGUUGGGAGUUCGAGCUACCAAGUUUCGGCUGUGCGAAGGUCCCGGGCUGAGACCGAGCAGAGAUACAAAACCGAUGCAACGUGAAACGGAUGAAAAUCUCGAUUUGUCUGGCUCGUUGACUCGCAUCGGUUUCACGGUAGGCGCCUAUGAACAGAUUCAGACAGGAUCGCUAAAAGAAAUCGCCAGAUCGAAAUGUUAAUACACGAGGACCAAAGCGAUCAUCUUCUCUAUCUCUGCUCGCUAUCUACGACACGUAGAACCGCGUUACACCUGGCGUAUACUUGCGCGAUAUUGCGGCUUUAUUGUACGUACACAUGGCCAGACUGUGUGUGCAUGUGCUCGAUGGUCCCAGGUUUAUUGCGACGAGCGUUAUCGCGACCAGACGGAACGAACGUCUCGCAGCAAGUGGGCAGUAACGUUUGACGAGCGGUCUAACCCUUUAAUUGAGUGCAGUUUUACGAUUUCAGACGUCGUUUCGGACAAAGGAGCGAAGAAUUCUGGAACGUUAUGCGGCGCGCCGGAAUAAUUCCGCCGCAGCUACCAGCGAAUAAUUUCAAUGCACGCCGAACUCGCCUCGUUUUCGUUCAUCGAUCCACCUCGUAAUGGACGCUGUCCUACGCUGUUUCUUGUUAAUUUAUCAGACCAGCUAAUGCUCCACCACCAUCGAUCCACUUAGCGAUUAUAACAUCGUGCUACGUUCUUCUCUCCAAGGUUUUUCCAAUCUUACGAUCUUGGAUUUACGAUUAUAGAGAUAGUCUACAAUUUGUUCGGCAUCUCAGAUUUUUUCAACAUUUUCCACGCGCUAUUUAGACACUUUUUAUCUGAAGUAUAGGAAGACGACGGUCAUUUGCAUAUUCGAUAUAACACGUGGCAU